ensembl:lncRNA
ACCUCCCCGUAAGCGGGGCUCGGGUCUUUGCUGUAGUUGGCCUUUUGCCUUGCUGCUCCUAGGGCUGCCUGGGGAGCGUGGCCCCCUGUAACGGAGGGCGAGAGCCACCUCUCCGCACCUGAGUGGGAAAUGGAGCUCGCCGGACCCCAAGGCCACCCUGUAAGCAGGGUAGUGCCGUUUCCCUGCCCCUCUUCCUCCCCCGGCCCCUCGGCAUCGUUGCCUGAUGGUGGCUUGUCAACGCGACGGCCCCGUACUCGGGGUGUGCGUCACGGCAUUUGGCCGCUGGCUUUACCUGAGAAGCCCCUUGGCACGUUGAGGUCUGUGGCCUCCGUGCAGCCUAGGGACAGGUCACAGGCUCUUGUCUGUUGCCCGUGGUUGUGGGUUUAUUCCCAGGUGUUGGCUGUGCUGCGUUGUCCUUCCCUUCUGGAAAGUCGUGCCUGUGUGUGCGUGUUCCCCUUCCUUUCCUUGUUUGUGUUUGUGGAGUGGUUGAGCGGCUGUGCUUUCCCUUUAGGCCUCCACAAAGAUGGCUGCAGCUUAGCUUUGACUUCCCGGGGGGGAAUGGAGGACUUUGGUGCAUGCCGCAAAAGGGGUGUUCCCUCUUAGUCCUGCGAGCGCAGCGAGUGUCCUGUCUUCCUACUAUUUUCCUUAGUGCAGAUCAGAGCCACACGGUAGUUCUGUGGCCAAGGCCUCCCUGUAGCCAGGGCUUGGGCCUGUCCUUGCGUGGCCGCCUGUCCUGCUGGCGGCGGUGACAGCCCCGUACUCGGGGUGUGUGUCCCAAGCUUCGGAGCCCUCUGUCCCUGAGCAGCCCGCCCGCCCUGUAAUCAGGUGUGGGGAGGCUGCAGCGUUGCAGCCGGCUGCUUUAGCCAUCCAGCUGGUGGGAGUGACCCCUCCCUGUCCCGUCAGAGGGUGCAGGUUGAGGUGCUGUUUGUGUGUGGGGUGACCUCCCCGCUCGGUGGGUCGAGGUAGCUCCCUGGGCUUCCAAAGACGAGACGUUGGUGAUGUUCUGCUGCUGCCGGGCGGGCCAGCCUGUAGCUCAGGCGUUGGCGGGAGCCUCGUGCUCCGCAGGGCUUCUUGAAGAGGGUGAGGUGUGGGGGUACCGUCCUGUAGGCAGGGCUGUGUGUGCUCCCCGUUUGUGCUUGGUGAGCUGCGUUCUGAGAGACCCCCUGUACUCAGGUGGGAAUGUGGCCCCGGCCUUUCAGAGGCGCGGGGCCGUGAGACGCGGGGUGGGGCUUGCGCCCUCCCUGGAAUCGGGGCUGGGAUCCCGACUGCGGCCUUUGGCCGUGCCGCCCCGCUGCCUGGCUGCUGAGAGUUGCUCCUGCCGCUGGGGGGGAAACCGAGCUCUGUGGCUCCAGGGGUGUUGUCCACCCGCCUGUAAUCAGGGUCUGGGUGCGUGAGCGUUUGUGCUCUGCUGGCAGCCUGUGUGGGGUGACCACCCCGCUAGCGGGGUGUGGGUCGAGGUGCCCCGGACUGGGAGAGAAGGAGCCUCCCUCGGCCGUAGGGAUGGGGGCUGCCCUGUAAGUCAGGGAGCAUCUGUGUCCCGGAGUCCCAGGCCCUUUUCAAUGGCGGCAGUGGCCGGGGGUCCCCUGUAAGCAGGGAAGCUGACUCUUUGGCUGCUGCUUUUUGUGUGCCCAGCCCCAUUUGCCCGGUCUGCCUGCCUCUGUGAUCCCCCGCAGCACUGGCUGGAAGUCCGCCGCGUGUCAGUGAGGAGCUGCUUCAGAAGAAAGAAGAAGCGGCGUGGGGACCUGGGCUGCAAAAUCAAGAUUGGGUAUCUGUUGACUGUUUUUCUUGUAUUUCUUUGCCUUUUGGAGCCACAGUUUUGAACAGUUGUGUAAGACUUUAUCACUCUUUUUGUCAGCGUCGUCAGCUGUGAAUAAAGUUUUUUUUCCAUGUUGUUUUUCCUGUUAUA